UCCGUAGGUGGUUUGUCAAGUCUGUCGUCAAAGAAUGGAGCUUAACUCCAUAAAGGCGGUGGAAACUGAGAGACUAGAGUUCGGUAGGGGUAGCGGGAAUUCCCAGUGUGGCGGUGAAAUGCGUAGAUAUUGGGAAGAACAUCGGUGGCGAAAGCGCGCUACUGGGCCGAAACUGACACUGAGGGACGAAAGCUAGGGUAGCGAAAG
rnacentral:rRNA from 1 species